GCGGUUGUAAAAAUUACAGUUUUUUGUUCAAAGGCGGCAUUCAUAAUACUGACACUGAAAUCCAAUCCAGAAUUAAAUAUGCUAGAAAAUAAAGUUGACUGGAAAACAGGAAAAAAGGAAAACAACUCCAGCUGGAGCUUUGUCUUUCUAAAGAAAAAAAAUUCUGGAGGUAACGCAUACGAGCCUGUGGAGACGUAUAACAAUAUAGCGGAUGUGGACAGUAGUGAAAGUCCUUAUCAACACUGCUAUGAAGCUUUUCUGGCAGAAACUACUGACCAACUGGAAAAUCUAGAGCUUGGUACACAGCGCUUUAAGGGAAGAGUAUAUAUAAGGUUACCAAGAGGAAUGAAAACAGAGUGAUAGUCUGUUUCGAUAAAAGUAACAUGGUCCUCAAGGCAACAUCUGGAAAUAUUUUGCGCACCUUUCCGUAAAUUUAGUUUAGAGCUUAAAUGCUUUUUGAUAGAACAAGAAAAUUUUCUGCCGUGCCCCAUGGUUGUUUAUAAUCUUUACUCCACAGGCUGAGCGACCUGAGAAAAAUACAUCAUAAGCGCGGAAAAGAUAACUUCAUUUCACUUUUAUUAAUAAGUGGUGAGGUAAGCGUUAUUUUAAACUCCAAAAACUCCUGCAUAUGAAAGAGUUUUGAGAGGUCUUCACUAUCUGCUCUAAAGAAACUGUGGCUAUAAAAGAAGUAAUUAUAUCCUUAGUUAACAAGCACACGAGCUUAGAAGUUGGAAGCUACAAAAGUUCAAGAAUGCUCUGAAAGUGGAGGAUUUUCGUCUAGAACGAAGAGAAAAUUAAGGAGAUCGUAAUAAACUUAGUAGUUUGACUUUAAUU